GAUGUUAAAUUAAGCGAUUAUGUUCCAAGGAAGCGGGGUGCAAAUCCCCCACUGUGCCGCAACCGUAAAGUCGGAAAACUAGUAAUCGCUUCAUUCUCGAGC
rnacentral:ncRNA from 31 species